GACGAACGCUGGCGGCGUGCUUAACACAUGCAAGUCGAACGGUGAACGAGGGAGCUUGCUCCCUCCGGAUCAGUGGCGAACGGGUGAGUAACACGUGAGCAAUCUGCCUCGAACUCUGGGAUAAGCGUUGGAAACGACGUCUAAUACCGGAUACGACGCGGGAGGGCAUCCUCUCCGCGUGGAAAGAACUUCGGUUCGGGAUGAGCUCGCGGCCUAUCAGCUUGUUGGUGAGGUAACGGCUCACCAAGGCGACGACGGGUAGCCGGCCUGAGAGGGUGACCGGCCACACUGGGACUGAGACACGGCCCAGACUCCUACGGGAGGCAGCAGUGGGGAAUAUUGCACAAUGGGCGCAAGCCUGAUGCAGCAACGCCGCGUGAGGGACGACGGCCUUCGGGUUGUAAACCUCUUUUAGCAGGGAAGAAGCGAAAGUGACGGUACCUGCAGAAAAAGCACCGGCUAACUACGUG
rnacentral:rRNA from 1 species